rnacentral:lncRNA from 1 species
UUCAGAUGCUUUGAUGAAUAUCUCUUGCAAAUUUGUCAUUCCAGAAGGUAAACAUUAGAGCGACGUGGACCUGAUAACGAAGUUUAUUUGAUUCGAUCUUGUAGUGUGGUAUUUGAUUGUGGUCACACCAUUUGCACAGAGUGCGGAGACCUUUUGAAGGAGUAAACCAAUUCAGAAGAAAUUAAAUCUGUUCUAGAUCGAUACGAUUUACUUUGCUUAACGGUUAUAUUGUGACGUUUUAAAUUUAAACCUUUUGUUCACUUGAAAUGAUUCCUAUAUAACAUAUAAAUAUUUUCAGCUUAAAUAUAAAACCUAUAUAUAAUAUAUAUUUAGUUUAAAGACAAAAUGUCUAUGAGAAAAUUAUUAAUUUGACAUUUGUUUUGAUUUUUAGAGUAACAGAUAUUACAUUAUGUGCUAACUAACGAUAGUAGUUUUAAUAAACAGAGUUCAAGCUUCAUUAUAUAUCUUAAAUGCAGUAUUUGAUGAUUUCUAAUAUAAUCUUUAUAAAGCUAUUUCUUUACAUAACGAAUAUUAUUAAUGAAAUAUGGAUAAGAUGAUAUAAUAAAACGAUUUAUAUAUAAACAUUCCUCAUACUUCUUAAUGAUUUUACAUGAAAUAAAUGUAGUUAUUCAGAAACUUGAA